UUCAGACAGGAGUCGUUCUCAGCUCUACCAGGAUUUAAGAAGAAGGAAGAAGGGAACAGCUUGGGUGGGGCACUGACUGUCUUUUGCUUCUGCCCACCUCUCCUCCAGGUGUUUAACAUCUCCUGGGCUGUUGCUGAGCUGGGGCUUCUGCCACUAUAUAGGGCAGGCUGGCCCAGGGGCUUGGAGGAAGAAGGAAGAAGGGAACAGCUUGGGUGGGGCACUGACUGUCUUUUGCUUCUGCCCCACCUCUCCUCCAGAUCCAGCUGUACGUGUGUGGUAAAUUCAAUACCCGGCAGAAAUGAGCAUUGGGCUGUUGGCUUUUAGGAAACAACUAGAUACAUCUCUUGAGCCAAGCUUCUUAGCUAUUUGGUAGUUUUUAUACUGUAUAAGAAGCUGGGCAGCGAUAAAAUCAGUCACAGAAGAAAAGCCUCUCCUGCUUAACAGUCUUCUGCUACUCAAAAUUACUGGC